rnacentral:rRNA from 1 species
GACAGCAGUCGCCACGGGAAUACGGAGGGUGCAAGCGUUAAUCGGAAUUACUGGGCGUAAAGCGCACGCAGGCGGUCUGUCAAGUCAGAUGUGAAAUCCCCGGGCUUAACCUGGGAACUGCAUUUGAAACUGGCAGGCUAGAGUCUUGUAGAGGGGGGUAGAAUUCCAGGUGUAGCGGUGAAAUGCGUAGAGAUCUGGAGGAAUACCGGUGGCGAAGGCGGCCCCCUGGACAAAGACUGACGCUCAGGUGCGAAAGCGUGGGGAGCAAACAGGAUUAGAUACCCGAGUAGUCCCUGUCUCUUAUAC